GACGAACCGAGCGAACGUUGUUCGGAAUCACUGGGCUUAAAGGGCGCGUAGGCGGGUGCUCAAGUCCGUGGUGAAAUCCUCCGGCUCAACCGGAGAACUGCCUCGGAUACUGGGCGUCUCGAGUGUGGUAGGGGUAUGCGGAACUAUCGGUGGAGCGGUGAAAUGCGUUGAUAUCGAUAGGAACUCCGGUGGCGAAGGCGGCAUACUGGACCAACACUGACGCUGAUGCGCGAAAGCCAGGGGAGCAAACGGG
rnacentral:rRNA from 1 species